AGCAGCCGCGGUAAUUCCAGCUCCAAUAGCGUAUAUUAAAGUUGUUGCAGUUAAAAAGCUCGUAGUUGAAUUUCGGGAUCAAUACGUCGGUCGUGCUUUCGGGUACGUACUGGCGUCAUUGGUUUCUCCUUUCUGACGAACCAUGAUGUCAUUAAUUUGGUGUUAUGGGGAGUUAGGACUGUUACUUUGAAAAAAUUAGAGUGUUUAAAGCAGGCAUUAGCUUGAAUACAUUAGCGUGGAAUAAUGAAAUAGGACGUUCGAUCCUAUUUUGUUGGUUUCUAGGAUCAACGUAAUGAUUAAUAGGGAUAGUUGGGGGCAUUAGUAUUCAAUUGUCAGAGGUGAAAUUCUUGGAUUUAUUGAAGACUAACUACUGCGAAAGCAUUUGCCAAGGAUGUUUUCAUUAAUCAAGAACGAAAGUUAGGGGAUCGAAGACGAUCAGAUACCGUCGUAGUCUUAACCAUAAACUAAUGCCGACUAGGGAUCGGAUGAUGUAAUUUUUAAUGACUCAUUCGGCGCCUUA
rnacentral:rRNA from 1 species